CCCAUGAUUUUAUAUCAGUAAGAGCCCUGAGAGAUGAUCAGGUAGAUAGGUUAGAAGUGGAAGUGUGGUGACACAUGUAGCGGACUAAUACUAAUAGCUCGAGGACUUAUCCUA
rfam:Streptococcus henryi strain A-4 genome assembly, contig: IE83DRAFT_scaffold00038.38